GUACGGAGUGGGGCGGGGCAUCCCAAUCCCUUCCCUCCGGUGAGGGCCGCCGGGACCACGAGGAGGGACGCAGCGCGCCUUGGCUUUGACGGCCAGGAGGCGCCUCUGAAAGCCUGUGUUCAUUUGCUGUUGCUGCUAUGAUGGCUCCUGAGGAACUGAGACCCUCGGUCCAGCAGCCCACAAGGAACUACAUGAGUGAGCUUGGCAUCAGACCCACCCCAGCGGAGCCCCAGGAUGCCUGCAGCCUGUGCAGGACCCUGAGCAGAGGACCCGGCUGAGCUUCACUCAGAUCUCUGACCGGCAGGCUGUGAGAUUGCAGAACCUCAAGAGAGGUGAGAGGAAAGGCCAUCUUCAUAUGAGACUCUUCCCUUCCCUACCCUCAACACCUUAUACGCUUGGCUAAGCAGCUUUAUUUUGAAAAGUGGCCCAACACCACAUUCCAUC